rnacentral:lncRNA from 1 species
AAUUCGUCUCCGCCGGAGUCCCGCUCCCCAACGCCGGGAACGUUGGCCGUAUCAGAAUGGCUGCUCACUGGAUGCCCGGCGAGCCACGACCAGCUUACCUUGACGGUUCUGCUCCUGGGUACGCCAUUUUUAUAAAUUCGAAUCCUUUUACUCUGUUUCUCACUCAUUUUGCAAUAGGGACCUGUCUCUCCCUGUUACUCAAUUUGUUAGAUUAGAUGUGUAUAAAGAAAAGUUUGGAAUCUCUUUGAUGCAAGAUUGGAGGAUGUUUAAAGCUUCAGUCUUUAAGUUAUUGCGUAUACAUUAUACACCUCUCAUAGAUCGUCUCUUUUUACUCUGUUUAUUGCAGAACUUGGAACCAUGUUUUUUCUGCCUCUGUUUUGGUCACUUUAUUAUAUGUGUGUCUAUAGAGAUUAGAGACAUUCUGAUUUAAAAUUGGAGGCUGCAUAAAAAGAUUCAUGGAUUCAAAGAUAUUGAUUGGGUACAAAAUUGUGCAGUGACUUUGGGUUUGACCCACUUGGACUAGGAGAGGUUCCAGAGAACCUUGAGAGGUACAAAGAAUCAGAGCUCAUCCACUGUAGAUGGGCUAUGCUCGCUGUUGUAAGUUUCACUAUCCAAUCUUUGUCUUAUCAUAAGGGUGUAGUCUUGUUAAGUUUAGUCUAAUGAAAUUGGUGUGUGGUGUGUUGUAGCCUGGGAUUUUGGUACCAGAAGCAUUAGGAUAUGGAAACUGGGUUAAAGCUCAGGAAUGGGCAGCAUUACCAGGGGGUCAAGCCACUUACUUGGGAAACCCUGUCCCGUGGGGUACUUUGCCCACAAUCUUGGCCAUUGAGUUCCUUGCUAUCGCAUUCGUCGAGCACCAGAGAAGUAUGGAGAAAGACCCUGAGAAAAAGAAGUACCCAGGAGGUGCAUUUGACCCCCUCGGAUACUCAAAGGACCCCAAGAAGUUGGAGGAAUUGAAGGUCAAGGAGAUCAAGAACGGUAAGCACACACAACAACGUACCAUUAUUCUGGAUCAACUUAUGUAGAAGAAAUGUGUAUCUAAUGUUAAUGUUUUCUUCUUGGUGGGUAUGACGACAGGGCGUCUAGCGUUGUUGGCGUUUGUGGGAUUCUGUGUGCAACAAUCAGCUUACCCGGGGACAGGACCAUUGGAGAAUCUUGCAACUCACUUGGCGGAUCCAUGGCACAACAACAUUGGCGAUAUUGUUAUCCCUUUGAACUAAUGAAUGUAAAAAUAGAAAUAUGUACCUUAUGAGCUUUGUGUGUAUCAAAACACUGUGUAAUGAAAGACAGAUUGUGGAAAACCUGUAUUUUGGCUUGGUGAUCGUCGAUUGCUCAUGUCAGCUUGAAUUCUAAAUGAUGAAGA